GGUGGCAAGGCUCUGGGUCCCGGGGCUGCCGGGGAGAGGACCCAGGCCUCCAGGUCCUUCUUCAAGGUUACUUACAAGCCAAGAUCCAGGUCAAAGGGCAGAUCUUGGAACAGCCUGGCAUUAGCAUCAGAACAUGUGAUACAAAGCACAAAUGGAUCUUGGGGAACUGUCUACUUUCAAGAGUUUACCAACUUCUGGACAUAGUCCUGCUGCCUGAAAAACCCCAUCACUUAAAAUGAGGAGGACCUUACCUGAAGAAGAAAGUAAGACAACAGUCUAUAGGAAGAUCUUUGAAGGAUCACUGGACCAUAGAGUGCCAGAAUCUGAAGAUACUUUAUUUUUUAAAAAUUAAUGUUUUAUUUCUUCCCCAAUUAUAUGUUAAAACAAAUUAUAA